rnacentral:rRNA from 1 species
GGACGAACGCUGGCGGCGUGCUUAACACAUGCAAGUCGAGCGAUGAAGCUUCUUCGGAAGUGGAUUAGCGGCGGACGGGUGAGUAACACGUGGGUAACCUGCCUCAUAGAGGGGAAUAGCCUUCCGAAAGGAAGAUUAAUACCGCAUAAGAUUGUAAUAUUGCAUGAUAUAGCAAUUAAAGGAGUAAUCCGCUAUGAGAUGGACCCGCGUCGCAUUAGCUAGUUGGUGAGGUAAUGGCUCACCAAGGCGACGAUGCGUAGCCGACCUGAGAGGGUGAUCGGCCACAUUGGGACUGAGACACGGCCCAGACUCCUACGGGAGGCAGCAGUGGGGAAUAUUGCACAAUGGGGGAAACCCUGAUGCAAGCAACGCCGCGUGAGUGAUGACGGUCUUCGGAUUGUAAAGCUCUGUCUUCAGGGACGAUAAUGACGGUACCUGAGGAGGAAGCCACGGCUAACUACGUGCCAGCCGCCGC